rnacentral:rRNA from 1 species
AGAACGAACGCUGGCGGCGUGGAUAAGACAUGCAAGUCGAACGGAAUUUUAGGGGCUUGCUCCUGAAGUUUAGUGGCGAACGGGUGCGUAACACGUGAGUAAUCUGCCGGGAAGUGGGGGAUAGCUCGUCGAAAGGCGAAUUAAUACCGCAUGUGGCCAACGAGGACAUCCUCGUGACGCCAAAGUCGUAAGACGCUUCCUGAUGAACUCGCGGCCUAUCAGCUAGUUGGUGAGGUAACGGCUCACCAAGGCUUUGACGGGUAGCUGGUCUGAGAGGACGACCAGCCACACUGGAACUGAGACACGGUCCAGACUCCUACGGGAGGCAGCAGUGGGGAAUUUUGCGCAAUGGGGGAAACCCUGACGCAGCAACGCCGCGUGGAGGAUGAAGUCCCUUGGGACGUAACUCCUUUCGACCAAGACGAUAAUGACGGUACUGGUGGAAGAAGCACCGGCUAACUCUGUGCCAGCAGCCGC